rnacentral:ncRNA from 1 species
CGGGUAAACAAUAAGGGCGUACGGAGGAUGCCUUGACACUAAGAGGCGAUGAAGGAGGUGGCGUGACUGCCUUAAGCUUCGGGGAGCCGUCUAGCGGGCUUUGAUCCGGAGAUUUCCGAAUGGGGAAACCCAGCACAGUAAACCUGUGUUAUCUCGCGCAAGCGAGAUGCGUACCCGGUGAAGUGAAACAUCUCAGUAACCGGAGGAAAAGAAAUAGAAUAGAUCCCCUUAGUAGCGGCGAGCGAAAAGGGAACAGCCUAAACCUGUUGUUGGUUAGCAAUAAUUAAUGACGGGGGUUAUAGGGACAGUACAUUUUUUAAAUCAUGUAACAUGAAACAUGUAACAAUAAUAUGUUGCGUGUCGCGUGUUAUAUGAUUUGAAAUAGAAAGUUACAAAUCCGAGUGUUAGCAGAACGGCCCUGGAACGGCCGACCAAAGAAGGUGAUAGUCCUGUAAGCGAAAACAAUCGGACUUUCGUAUUGUUACCUGAGUAGCCCGAGAUAAGAAUGUCUUGGGUGAAUUUGUCCAUACUACUGGAUAAGGCUAAAUACUCUUAGUGAUCGAUAGUGAACAAGUACCGUGAGGGAAAGGUGAAAAGCACCCCGGUGAGGGGAGUGAAAUAGUAACUGAAACCGUAUGCCUACAAAGAGCGGGAGCGUGCUUCGCACGCAGUUCAUAAAGUUGAAAGUUCUUAAAGUUCAUAAAGUAAAUUCAAAACUUUAUAACUUUACAAACUUUAUAAACUUAUGACUUGCGCGCGGAGCGUGUGACCGUGUGCCUAUUGAAGAAUGACCCAACGAGUUUAUUUAAACUGCUAACUAUAAGUUCCUUUGGAACGAAUGGAUAGGGAAACCAAGUGUUAAAAGCGCGAAUUCCAACUCAAAUUUUUGGAAAGAAAAAGCAACCAUCAAGGUUGCUGUUAUGAUUGACACAGCUUGUUAUUGGGACCGGAAAAAUCUUUCAAGAUAUACUCCCGCGCCGAUUCCAACUAUAAGUUGCGACAAUACAUGGAAAUAAGAACAAUUAGAAAUGGGCAAGAGACCUAAAAUCAACAAAGAAAUACCAAAGAACAAAUUUCUAUUUUUCAUGCUAAUCUCCUAAUAAGAUAUUAGCAUUUAGCUUGUAUUUUGUCAAAUAAUCGUUAAUUUCUAAAAAUUUGAGUUGGAUAUGCAGUUUUGAUAAGACCCGAAGCCAGGCGAGCUAACCAUGCCCAGGGUGAAGCUCUUCGAAAGAAGAGUGGAGGCCCGAACUGGUUGAUAGCGCAAUAUCAUCGGAUGAGGUGUGGUUGGAAGUGAAAAGCUUAUCGAGCUUGGUAAUAGCUGGUUCUCCCCGAAAUGCCUUUGGGGGCAGCGUCGUAUAGUAAUAGAGGGGGUAGAGCACUGAAUGGUUCGCCGUGCCCUUAUGGGUAGGUUUACCAAACAAACUCCGAAUACCUCUGUGGAAUAUACGGCAGUGAGUACGCGAGGGCAAAGCUUCGUGUACGCGAGGGAAAGAGCCCAGAUCACCGCUUAAGGUCCCAAAAUGUAAACUAAGUGAAAAGGAAGUAUUUUGUCUUAGACAGGUAGGAGGUUGGCUUAGAAGCAGCCAUCCUUUAAAGAGUGCGUAACAGCUCACUACUCGAUGUUGCCGCAAGGCAAUAAGGCAAAGUGCGCCGAAAAUUUAACGGGGCUAAGUUUACUACCGAAAGCGUGGGUGCGCACAGCGCACAAGUUGAAAGUUAAAAGUUCGUCAAGUUCGUAAAGUAAAAAACUUUAUAACUUUAAAAACUUUAUAAACUUGUAACUUGCGCGCUGUGCGCGCGGUAGGGGAGCAUUUUCAACGCAGUGAAGCCUUUCUGUGAAGAUGGGUGGAGCGUUGAGAAGGGAGAAUGUUGGGAUGAGUAACCGCAAGUCCGGUGAAAGCCCGGACCGCCGAAAGCCUGAGGUUUCCUCCGCAAUGUCAAUCAACGGAGGGUUAGGCGUACCUAAGCGUAAGUCCCGCUAAGGCGGGGCGAUCGUAAUGGAUGGCCGGUUAAUAUUCCGGCCCUUCAGUCCUUUUCGAAGGAGUGACGGAGCGCAGUAGAGUAAGUGUGUUAUUGGAUUCAACAUUUGCAAUAUAAGAAUUGAGCGCAGGAAAAUCCACGCUCGGCCGCAAGGCAAAUUCAAGUAUUGUGAAAAUCAUCGCAAGAUGAAAUUUACUUGAGCGCGCUUCCAAGAAAAACUUCUAAGUCCGCCGAAAGGCGGAAGGAGGACUGAACACGUACCGCAAACCGACACAGGUAGGCAGGUCGAGAAGACCAAGGCGAACGGGUGAUUAUUGGCUAAGGAACUCGGCAAAAAAGCGGCCGUAACUUCGGAAUAAGGCCUUCCCUCACCAGUUUUGGCAUGUUAUAUAAUUUUCAUGUGAACUAUCUAUAUAAUUCAAAAUAAUCAGACUAUGGAAGUUUAUAUUGGUUUAACUUCCAAUUUAAAGAAAAAACUUGAAACCCAUAAUUGUGGUGGUAAAAAAUUUACUACUAGAAAAAUGGGAGAAUGGAUUUUGACUUAUGCUGAAGCAUAUAGAACAAAAUUAGAUGCCGUAAUUCGAGAGAAAAGAUUAAAAAAUCAUGGAAAUGCAAAAAUAGAAUUAUUCAAGCGAAUAAAUAAUAGUUUGCUUGAUGCCAAAACUGGUGAGGGACGCAGCUAAAGAACCCCUGGCGACUGUUUAUCAAAAACACAACUCCGUGCUAAGCCGAAAGGCGCUGUAUACGGGGUGACGCUUGUCCGGUGCUGGAACGUUAACGGUGAACGUGCGUGGCGCGUAGUUCAUAAAGUUAAAAGUUCAUCAAGUUCAUAAAGUAAAAAAAACUUUAUAACUUUACAAACUUUAUAAACUUUUUGACUUACGCGCUGCGUGCGGACGCCCGAAGCGCCAGUGAACGACGGCAGUAACUAUAACUGUCUAAAAGUAGGUAAUGCUGCUUUUAUAAAAUCUGACUAUUUGCUGGAAAAUCUGUGGAUAAAAUCCUUAAGAAUAUAGAGCUACUUAUGGUAUGAUAUUACCAUGAGUGAUAAAGCUUCUAUUGCAGACAAUCAGCAGGAAAGAUUAAGACUUGAAGGUUGGAUCAGUGGUUUUGUUGAUGGCGAAGGAUGUUUUACCGUAAGCAUCAUUCGCAACAACUAUGGCUGGCAAGUAUUUCCAGAAUUUGUGGUGAGUCAAGGCGAGAAAAGUCGUGACGCAUUAAGAAAAAUUGAAAGAUUUUUCAAAUGCGGCCACAUAAAUCUUAAUACUCGACGAGAUAACCAUCAUGAACAAAUGUUGAAAUAUUGUGUCAGACCGAUCCACGAUCUUAACGAAAUUAUUAUUCCCUUUUUUGAAAGAAAUAGAUUGAAAACUUAUAAGCAAAAAGAUUUUCAAGUAUUCCGAAAAAUUAUUAAAAUGAUGAUUUGCGGAAAACAUAAAUCUGAAAAAGGAUUAGAAAAAGUACGAUCUUUGCUUCAAACAAUGAAUAGAAGAAAGUAUAAACAAGUCUUAAAAUCCUCAGAGACUAUAUGUCAGACUUCAUCUCUUGCGUCAAAAUAAGAGAGAAGAAGAUAUAGUCCGAGCUGCAUGGCGACAUGCAGGGCACAAAGAGUGCCGUCCGCCUAAGGCGGAUUAACAUAUCUAAGCGAAAUACCUUGUGGGGUAAGUUCCCACGCGCAUGAAUAGCGCAACGACUGGGGGACUGUCUCAGCCAAUAGCCCGGUGAAAAUGCAAUGUCGGUAA